CUGGACCAGAUCCAAGAUAGCCAUUUUAACAUCACCUGCGGCAAUGAUGGUUUUCCACGUUAUUUUUUUCACAGCUGCCUUGAUCAUGUUUAGCUUCUUUCUCACUCUCAACCUUCAGGAUGAUUCAAUAUCUUUGCAGGAAGGUCUGAUUUUCAUAUACAUGUUAGGUGAUUUAUUAGAGGAAAUAUGGAGCAUGAUUCGACCUGACAAAGACUGCAACUGGUCAAAACAAAGAAUAUUUCUUCACCUAUUAAAUAUUUGGAACAUUUUGGAUCUAUUAUGUUUAUUGCUUUACAUACUUGCAUUUUGCAUGCACAUUCUCGAUUCCAAUUUGCUUAUGCACACUAGGAGAAUCUAUAGUAUAGCCCUUUUCAUCAUGUUCCUGCGCCUACUGAAUGUUUUAUUACUGUUUAAACGUUUUGGAAUAAUUAUAAUAAUGGUGAAAGAAAUGCUUGUGGAUUUGAUGCAGUAUUUACUAAUACUUCUCAUCUUUAUAUUUGCUGCUGGCGUUGUUUACCAUGCUAAUGUUUACCCAAACCACACAGUCACAGGUUCAAGUGAUAUUCAGUUCUGGAGAAUAUGGACAAUUCUCAAGAUUCCAUACUGGCAGGUUUAUGGCGAACUAUUUUUGGAUACAU